rnacentral:rRNA from 1 species
AGAGUGAACGCUGGCGGUAGGCCUAACACAUGCAAGUCGAACGGCAGAACAGUGGUAGCAAUACCAUGGGUGGCGAGUGGCGGACGGGUGAGGAAUACAUCGGAAUCUACCUUUUCGUGGGGGAUAACGUAGGGAAACUUACGCUAAUACCGCAUACGCCCUUUGGGGGAAAGCCGGGGAUCGCAAGACCUGGCGCGGAUAGAUGAGCCGAUGUCGGAUUAGCUAGUUGGUGAGGUAAUGGCUCACCAAGGCGACGAUCCGUAGCUGGUCUGAGAGAUGAUCAGCCACACUGGAACUGAGACACGGUCAGACUCCGUACGGGAGCAGCGAGGUAGGGAAUAGUUGGGACUAAGUGGGGC